AAACCAGGUGAUGAGAUCGAUUGGAUUAAUUUCUCACGACGGUCAUCUGAGACAUUAUUGUGUCGAUAUUGAUGUAAUAAUCCAAUGUUUUCUGAUGGCU